rnacentral:misc_RNA from 1 species
UGCUUUCGCCACUGGUAUUCCUCCAGAUAUCUACGCAUUUCACCGCUACACCUGGAAUUCUGCAUCCCUCUCCCGAAUUCAAGCCAUCCAGUAUCGGACGCAGUUCCCAGGUUGAGCCUGGGGAUUUCACGUCCGACUUAGUUGGCCGCCUACGAGCCCUUUACGCCCAGUAAUUCCGAACAACGCUUGCCCCCCCCGUAUUACCGCGGCUGCUGGCACGGAGUUAGCCGGAGCUUACAAACGGUACCGUCAUCGCCGGUGUUGUUGGCACCGGCUUAUUCUUCCCGUUCUUGCGAAGUUUACAUCCCGAGGGAUUUCAUCCUUCACGCGGCGUUGCUGGGUCAGGCUUUCGCCCAUUGCCCAAAAUUCCCGACUGCUGCACCCCGUAGGGC